UAUUUAAUAGUUUUUAUGAAUGUCAAAUUGUGGUUUUGAAGGAUUAUUUAAAUAA
rnacentral:tRNA from 1 species